rnacentral:tRNA from 1 species
CCCUAUGGGGUGCAGCAGUCUGGUAGCUCGUCGGGCUCAUAACCCGAAGGCCGUAGGUUCAAAUCCUACCCCCGCAACCAAAUUUCAUACUAUCUUUAUCUAGUUUUUUUAUAUCGCUUGUGGACAUGGAUUUAUUCUUUUUUUGUAUAGAAAUAAUUUUUUUAUUACGGACGAAUUUUUUUAUGGAGUGUGUAAUUAAUUCUCUUUUUUAGCUUACAACGAAUUGUAGUUUUAUAUUUGCCCCAAUGAAAAAAUGCUACAGAUAUUUUUUUUAUGUAUGUUUACUUUUAUUGAUCAACGCUUCAUUUUGUUGGGCCGCUUACGUAUCGCGAGCGGAGGCCAAGCGAGCGUUUGAAAUAAUUAAGAGCAUCGAUUAUUUACCGUUUGAGUACAAGUGGGAUGGAUGCUUUGCUCGUUCGCUUUUUAUGUCUAUGGAAUUGGCGGGAGAGC